AGCGAACGCUGGCGGCAGGCUUAACACAUGCAAGUCGAGCGGGCACUUUCGGGUGUCAGCGGCGGACGGGUGAGUAACGCGUGGGAACGUGCCCUCUGGUUCGGAAUAACUCAGGGAAACUUGAGCUAAUACCGGAUACGCCCUUUUGGGGAAAGGCUUGCUGCCGGAGGAUCGGCCCGCGUCUGAUUUGCUAGUUGGUUAGGUAACGGCUCACCAAGGCGACGAUCAGUAGCUGGUCUGAGAGGAUGAUCAGCCACACUGGGACUGAGACACGGCCCAGACUCCUACGGGAGGCAGCAGUGGGGAAUAUUGGACAAUGGGCGCAAGCCUGAUCCAGCCAUGCCGCGUGAGUGAUGAAGGCCUUAGGGUUGUAAAGCUCUUUUAUCCGGGACGAUAAUGACGGUACCGGAGGAAUAAGCCCCGGCUAACUUCGUG
rnacentral:rRNA from 1 species